UGCGUAGGCGGCUGAUUAAGUCGGAUGUGAAAUCCCUGAGCUUAACUUAGGAAUUGCAUUCGAUACUGGUCAGCUAGAGUAUGGGAGAGGAUGGUAGAAUUCCAGGUGUAGCGGUGAAAUGCGUAGAGAUCUGGAGGAAUACCGAUGGCGAAGGCAGCCAUCUGGCCUAAUACUGACGCUGAGGUACGAAAGCAGUGGGAGCAAACA
rnacentral:rRNA from 1 species